rnacentral:rRNA from 1 species
AGUGAACGCUGGCGGUAGGCCUAACACAUGCAAGUCGAACGGCAGCACAGUAAGAGCUUGCUCUUACGGGUGGCGAGUGGCGGACGGGUGAGGAAUACAUCGGAAUCUACUUUUUCGUGGGGGAUAACGUAGGGAAACUUACGCUAAUACCGCAUACGACCUACGGGUGAAAGCAGGGGAUCUUCGGACCUUGCGCGAUUGAAUGAGCCGAUGUCGGAUUAGCUAGUUGGCGGGGUAAAGGCCCACCAAGGCGACGAUCCGUAGCUGGUCUGAGAGGAUGAUCAGCCACACUGGAACUGAGACACGGUCCAGACUCCUACGGGAGGCAGCAGUGGGGAAUAUUGGACAAUGGGCGCAAGCCUGAUCCAGCCAUACCGUGUGGGUGAAGAAGGCCUUCGGGUUGUAAAGCCCUUUUGUUGGGAAAGAAAAGCAGCAGGUUAAUACCCCGCUGUUCGGACGGUACCCAAAGAAUAAGCACCGGCUAACUUCGU